rnacentral:rRNA from 1 species
CACGAACCGUACGAACGUUAUUCGGAAUUACUGGGCUUAAAGGGUUUGUAGGCGGCCUUGUAAGUCAGGUGUGAAAGCCCUCGGCUCAACCGAGGAACAGCGCUUGAUACUGCAAGGCUUGAGGGAGACAGGGGUAAGCGGAACUGAUGGUGGAGCGGUGAAAUGCGUUGAUAUCAUCAGGAACACCGGUGGCGAAAGCGGCUUACUGGGUCUCUUCUGACGCUGAGGAACGAAAGCUAGGGUAGCGAACAGG